GAUGAACGCUGGCGGCGUGCCUAAUACAUGCAAGUCGAGCGAACGGACGAGAAGCUUGUUUCUUUGACGUUAGCGGCGGACGGGUGAGUAACAUGUGGAUAACCCACCUAUAAGACUGGGAUAACCUCGGGAAACCGGAGCUAAUACCGGAUGAUAUUCUGAACCGUAUGGUUCAUAAGUGAAAGACGGUCUUGCUGUCUCUUAUCGAUGGAUCCGCGCUGCAUUAGCUAGUUGGUAAGGUAACGGCUUAUCAAGGCGACGAUGCAUAGCCGACCUGAGAGGGUGAUCGGCCGCACGAGAACUGAGACACGGUCCAGGCGCCUACGGGAGGCAGCAGUAGGGAAUCUUCCGCAAUGGGCGGAAGCCUGACGGAGCGACGCCGCGUGAGUGAUGAAGGUCUUCGGAUCGUAAAACUCUGUUAUUGGGGGAGAACAUAUGUGUAAGUAACUGUGCACAUCUUGACGGUACCUGAUCAAAAAGCCACGGCUAACUACGUG
rnacentral:rRNA from 1 species